AUUAAGUGAUCAUUACUUGAUUUUAUGAGUUGUUCAUGUUAUUACAAGUGAUAUGAGAGCACAUCAUCUAUCCUUGUAUAAAUGAAGGAAUUCUAACGUACCUGGUUCCUGGGCACCGUUUCUUCUGAACAGGCCAUGUGAAGUUAUAUACAACUAAUUUUUUUUCCCCAUAAGAAAACUGAGAAUAGAUAUCGGCCAAGAGAGUGUUAAUUACAUGUUUUCUGUUUCCAGAUAUAUAGAUCAAGGUCGAAACCCCCAACUCUACACCAAAGAGUGCCUGGAAAGAGCUCUGGCGAAAAAUGAACAAGUUAAAGGGAAGAUUGAUACGAUGAAGAAAUUUAAAAGCCUGUUGAUUCAAGAGCUUUCUAAAGUCUUUCCAGAAGAUAUGGCUAAGUACCGAAGCAUCCGAGGGGAGGACCAUCCCCCGUCGUAACUUUCUCUUCCAACAUCUAGUCCUGUGUGAAUCACCAUAACCUUCAGGCAGCUUGUGACUGAGCGGCCUCAGAGACAGGAGGCCUAGAGGACUUUGUAGAGCUGUGCUGCCAGCAGCCCCCUCUUUGCAGAGGGCUGGUGAGCGCACAUUUUUGAGCGCAAUGCAUUUGAUCCUGUAUGGCAGAAUUAUCUUGGAAAUAUUAAAUAACGGUAGGUAAAGUAAAGGGUUUAAAAAUAUUGCCUAAGACUUUUCUGUUUGUGUACUUCUCUUUUUCAUUUUAUUAUGAUGUCAAAGAAAGCUAAAACAAAGAAAAGGUUUAAUAUGAGAAAUACUGGAAUUGGUUUUGUAUUUUAUAUUUUCAAGUAUAAUGCAUAAAGAAUGUGUUUAAUGUGACUGUUUACGUGGAUUUCAGUUAGACAUAAGCAUAUAAUAAAGUCUUUUAAGUACUUAUAUGACUUACUCCAUGUAAUUAUUUUAUAACAUUUUUACAGUAUAGUGCAGUGCAUCUUGUAAACAGUUAUUACUUCCCUAAAGUGUGAAUAUUAUUCAUAAAAUUUGUUCUUCUGGAAGUGGAUCAUGGGAUUUACUCUUGUUCAAGGUUUCCAUGCUCAUUUUCUAGUGCCCUUAAGCUCUGAAAUAACGAGGUAUUAGUUUCAAAGGCAAAUGUUCAUCUAUGGGCAACAUCAGUAAUGUCCCUGGGUAGUUUAUUAUGUUAUCAAUUAAAAAUUAUGUGAAUGGCUUGUU